CCCGCUCAGAAACUACAAAUGAAUUGACGGGGCCCGCACAAGCGGAGGAGCAUGUGGUUUAAUUCGAUGAUACGCGAGGAACCUUACCUGGGCUCGAACGUAAGAUGACUGUAGGUGAAAGCUUACAUCUCUUCGGAGCAUUUUACGAGGUGCUGCAUGGUUGUCGUCAGCUCGUGCCGUGAGGUGUCGGGUUAAGUCCCAUAACGAGCGCAACCCCUACCUUUAGUUGCCAUCAGGUAAUGCUGGGGACUCUAAAGGAACUGCCUACGCAAGUAGUGAGGAAGGCGGGGAUGACGUCAAAUCAGCACGGCCCUUACGUCCAGGGCUACACACGUGCUACAAUGGCCGAUACAGAGGGCAGCUACCUGGUGACAGGAUGCAAAUCUCCAAAGUCGGUCUCAGUUCGGAUCGGAGUCUGCAACCCGACUCCGUGAAGUUGGAUUCGCUAGUAAUCGCGCAUCAGCCAUGGCGCGGUGAAUACGUUCCCGGGCCUU
rnacentral:rRNA from 1 species